UACGUAGGGUGCAAGCGUUGUCCGGAAUUAUUGGGCGUAAAGAGCUCGUAGGCGGUUCGUCGCGUCGGCUGUAAAAACCCGGAGCUCAACUCCGGGCCUGCAGUCGAUACGGGCGGACUCGAGUUCGGCAGGGGAGACUGGAAUUCCUGGUGUAGCGGUGAAAUGCGCAGAUAUCAGGAGGAACACCGGUGGCGAAGGCGGGUCUCUGGGCCGAUACUGACGCUGAGGAGCGAAAGCGUGGGGAGCGAACAGG
rnacentral:rRNA from 1 species